rnacentral:lncRNA from 1 species
GUGAAGACUUGCAAAUCAAUCAGAGCAUUAAGUGGAUCUCCAGAAGUUUCACAGCAAUUUAGAAAUGAAACCAAGAUUUAAUACCAGCCUGCUUAAAAAGGUGCCAUGUCGAUGAUGCACGCCGUGCAACAGAUGGGAAAAGUCCUCAUGCAACUUAACAACAUGCUCACGUUUUCCUGUAGUUCUGCCGAAACACAACUUUGUGAGAGCUCCCUCCGUGAAAGCCAAGGCAGCCAGGUAAUGAAGGAGUCAGAAAGUGGACAGAAGCUGCCGGCAAGUUGUACCUGCCUGAGAAUGGAAUUGGCAACCAUGAAGCCUUUCAACAGAGGGUUUGGUUGUCCCAAGAAUGGUGGCGUUUGCAACCAUUUUGGAAUGGGUCGUGGCCUCGGGAAGGAGCUUAAAGAAAAUCAUUUUGCCCGAAUUCCACGUGAAAAUGGCAUGAUGAUUACUUUUUCUUCCUGUCCCUGCCAACACUUGGUGCUUGGGUAAAUGAAAAUAAAGGACAGAUAAGCUCACA